rnacentral:misc_RNA from 1 species
CGCCGCCACAGGCCGAGGGAG